AAAUUUGAAAUCUGGCGCAAGCCCGAGUUGUAAUUUGUAGAGGAUGCUUCUGGCCAGCGGCCGUUCUAAGUUCCUUGGAACAGGACGUCAUAGAGGGUGAGAAUCCCGUAUGUGACCGGCGCGCAGCCUUUACGUAGCUCCUUCGACGAGUCGAGUUGUUUGGGAAUGCAGCUCUAAAUGGGAGGUAAAUUUCUUCUAAAGCUAAAUACCGGCCAGAGACCGAUAGCGCACAAGUAGAGUGAUCGAAAGAUGAAAAGCACUUUGGAAAGAGAGUUAAAAAGCACGUGAAAUUGUUGAAAGGGAAGCGCUUGCAACCAGACUUUGUAGCGAUGUUCCGCUGGUCUUCUGACCGGUCUACUCAUCGUCGCGAGGCCAACAUCGUCUGGGCCCGCCGGAUAAGACCUAAGGAAUGUGGCUUCCCUUCGGGGAAGUGUUAUAGCCUGUGGUGAUACAGCGUGGCUCGGGCGAGGUCCGCGCUUCGGCAAGGAUGUUGGCGUAAUGGUUGUCAGCGGCCCGUCUUGAAACACGGACCAAGGAGUCUAACAUCUAUGCGAGUGUUCGGGUGUCAAACCCCUACGCGUAAUGAAAGUGAACGGAGGUGGGAAGCGCAAGCUGCACCAUCGACCGAUCCUGAUGUCCUCGGAUGGAUUUGAGUAAGAGCAUAGCUGUUGGGACCCGAAAGAUGGUGAACUAUGCCUGAAUAGGGUGAAGCCAGAGGAAACUCUGG
rnacentral:rRNA from 1 species